rnacentral:rRNA from 1 species
AGUCAAGUAAUUAAGUGCAUGUGGUGGAUGCCUUGGCAGUCAGAGGCGAUGAAAGACGUGAUAGCCUGCGAAAAGCUCCGGGGAGGCGGCAAAUAUCCUUUGAUCCGGAGAUGUCUGAAUGGGGGAACCCACCUACUUUAAGGUAGGUAUUGCAACAUGAAUACAUAGUGUUGCAAGGCGAACGAGGGGAAGUGAAACAUCUCAGUACCCUUAGGAAAAGAAAUCAAUUGAGAUUCCCUCAGUAGCGGCGAGCGAACGG